UUCAGAAGGUGGAUCGCUGGAAUCUGGCUUGCCCCGUCAUUUUCAGAAAGUUUCAGAAAGUCCAGAAGCACCAAUCACCUUCACCGGCACCAGGGGUAGGGAAACCACGCACUUAUUUCCCGCCGAGUCAUAUCAUUAUCUCCCAAGAAUCCAACACUCUAGGGAAGGAAAACAGGACUGAUAUGAACUUUUAAUUUUCACUGGAGAACUGAAGGUGGCUCUAGUGGCAAAGAACCCGCCUGCCAAUACAGGAGACAUAAGAGA